rnacentral:rRNA from 1 species
GUGCACGCUGGCGGUAGGCCUAACACAUGCCAGUCGCACGGCAGCACAGUAAGAGCUUGCUCUUACGGGUGGCGAGUGGCGGACGGGUGAGGAAUACAUCGGAAUCUACUUUUUCGUGGGGGAUAACGUAGGGAAACUUACGCUAAUACCGCAUACGACCUACGGGUGAAAGCAGGGGAUCUUCGGACCUUGCGCGAUUGAAUGAGCCGAUGUCGGAUUGGCUAGUUGGCGGGGUAAAGGCCCACCAAGGCGACGAUCCGUAGCUGGUCUGAGAGGAUGAUCAGCCACACUGGAACUGAGACACGGUCCAGACUCCUACGGGAGGCAGCAGUGGGGAAUAUUGGACAAUGGGCGCAAGCCUGAUCCAGCCAUACCGCGUGGGUGAAGAAGGCCUUCGGGUUGUAAAGCCCUUUUGUUGGGAAAGAAAAGCAGCAGGUUAAUACCCCGCUGUUCUGACGGUACCCAAAGAAUAAGCACCGGCUAACUUCGUG